AACAGGAUUAGAUACCCUGGUAGUCCACGCCGUAAACGAUGUCGACUUGGAGGCUGUUCCCUUGAGGAGUGGCUUCCGGAGCUAACGCGUUAAGUCGACCGCCUGGGGAGUACGGCCGCAAGGUUAAAACUCAAAUGAAUUGACGGGGGCCCGCACAAGCGGUGGAGCAUGUGGUUUAAUUCGAUGCAACGCGAAGAACCUUACCUACUCUUGACAUCCAGAGAAUUUAGCAGAGAUGCUUUAGUGCCUUCGGGAACUCUGAGACAGGUGCUGCAUGGCUGUCGUCAGCUCGUGUUGUGAAAUGUUGGGUUAAGUCCCGCAACGAGCGCAACCCUUAUCCUUUGUUGCCAGCACGUAAUGGUGGGAACUCAAAGGAGACUGCCGGUGAUAAACCGGAGGAAGGUGGGGAUGACGCCAAGUCAUCAUGGCCCUUACGAGUAGGGCUACACACGUGCUACAAUGGCGCAUACAAAGAGAAGCGACCUCGCGAGAGCAAGCGGACCUCAUAAAGUGCGUCGUAGUCCGGAUUGGAGUCUGCAACUCGACUCCAUGAAGUCGGAAUC
rnacentral:rRNA from 1 species